CCCCACCUUAGUGCAGUGUUUGCUGUGGGCUGUGCUGCUGUGUGACUGUCUGUGUCAACACCGUCUGGCCACUCAGCAUCUCUGGCCUGGGACUGCAUUGUUAUCCCUUUCUGACCCUGCUUUGGAUUACUUGCAGGAUUGUAUUCAGAUACCUUCCAAGUUUCAGCAUCUUCCUUUUAUAGACUUAAUGGCCUCACCAGUUUUAUCUGCUUCUGGUUUUUUCAGCUCAUUUAUCUUGGUUACAUUUUGUUAAUUGAGACUAAUGUUUUGUUGAAAAAUAUCUCUCUUGGUCCCCAAGCUGAGCUUUUGAAGUGAGUAGAUUUGAGUAAAAAUUUUCAAAUGAGCUAUUAAUAUCAUCACUGCAAAGAUACUCUCUCUUCACCCAUCAUUUCCACAUUGGCCUGGAGGGGAUUCCCUUUCCUGACUGGUAGUCAAACAGUUGCCAGCAUGUCUGUAAGCCUAGUCUACUGCUGACUGCUCUACUAGAGCCAGUCUUACUUCUGAAGGUGACACUGGUUUUAUCCCAAAUGAAAGGAAAACAUAUCUUUUAUCUUCAACUCCUUAGUAUAAUUUUUAGUAUAAUUUAUAAAUUAAUCUGAAUUCGUGUUUGGCUACUAAGUUUGAGAAUCAGCAGAUGCUGCCUAGGAGCAGGAGGUAGAAGGAGUUACACAUUCUAAACCAACCUCCCUCUCAUUUAACCUUGCCUAGGAACAUGUGGAACUGUGGGAGAUACUUGGGAGAUCCUAGCACUGCCAGAGGGUCACCUCCUCAAAACACAGUUCAGUAACAGGGAAGCACCUGGUAGUCUUUUUGGAGUUUGUCUGUCCUCUUGUUUAUAAAAAGACCUGCAGUUUUCUCAUGUUUACAGGCUUAAUGUUGCAAAAGGCAUAAAAAGUGCCCAUUUUUCUGUGUUAGAAGUAGUUCUUGUCAUUCCUUCAAAGUGGAGGGAACCUGGGUUUGUCUAAAUUCCAGAUUUGUGUGGCUAGGGAUGCCUCUAUCACUGCCCUUUCCAGCCUGUCACUGUGACACAGACACUCUCCAGCCCCUGUGACACACACAGUGCCAGGUCCCCAUGGUCCAGGCACCAUGAGGGUUGGUUGCUCAGCUGCUCUACAGCUGCAGCACUCUCUGUCCAGCUGGAGAAAUGCCGUAUGUACCAACUUAAGGUCUUUCUCAAGUAUCUAGUGGUCAGAUCUUUCACAGCUCCUGCCCAUUUUUCCAUAGAAGAAAGCAAUCCCGUGAAUGACACUUGACAGAAAAUGAAUCUCAUUAUUUCCAUAAGAAACUUGUGCUUGCUUGGAUUUGCUUUUUAGUGCCCAAAAUUAGACAUCACAAAAAUUUCUUUAGAAAUUGUUGAUCAUAUUCCAGCUCUGAACAUAAAGGCUUCUGGCAAUUCUAUCAUGGUCAGUAUGCACAGUUCUAUAUUUAGGUAUCUGAAUGUAAGGACCCUGGCCAUAAUCUCCAAGACAACUUAAUGAAAGCACAUAGAGCUGCUUGGCUCAGCUCAGUCUUGCUGUUUUUAUGGCCUUUCAUGCUAUGUAGGUAUAUUUGUAAUGACUGAAGGAAAAC
ensembl:lncRNA